GAUGAACGCUGGCGGCGUGCCUAAUACAUGCAAGUCGAGCGAACGGACGAGAAGCUUGCUUCUAUGAUGUUAGCGGCGGACGGGUGAGUAACACGUGGAUAACCUACCUAUAAGACUGGGAUAACUUCGGGAAACCGUAGCUAAUACCGGAUAAUAUUUUGAACCGCAUGGUUCAAAAGUGAAAGACGGUCUUGCUGUCACUUAUAGAUGGAUCCGCGCUGCAUUAGCUAGUUUGUAAGGUAACGGCUUACCAAGGCAACGAUGCAUAGCCGACCUGAGAGGGUGAUCGGCCACACUGGAACUGAGACACGGUCCAGACUCCUACGGGAGGCAGCAGUAGGGAAUCUUCCGCAAUGGGCGAAAGCCUGACGGAGCAACGCCGCGUGAGUGAUGAAGGUCUUCGGAUCGUAAAACUCUGUUAUUAGGGAAGAACAUAUGUGUAAGUAACUGUGCACAUCUUGACGGUACCUAAUCAGAAAGCCACGGCUAACUACGUG
rnacentral:rRNA from 1 species